CGAACGGGUGAGUAAUGCGUGACCAACCUGCCCCAUGCUCCAGAAUAGCUCUUGGAAACGGGUGGUAAUGCUGGAUGCUCCAACUUGACGCAUGUCUUGUUGGGAAAGUGUUUAGUGGCAUGGGAUGGGGUCGCGUCCUAUCAGCUUGUAGGCGGGGUAAUGGCCCACCUAGGCUUCGACGGGUAGCCGGCCUGAGAGGGCGGACGGCCACAUUGGGACUGAGAUACGGCCCAGACUCCUACGGGAGGCAGCGGC
rnacentral:rRNA from 1 species